rnacentral:rRNA from 1 species
GCCGGGGGGAACCGCCGGACAGUUUGUGAGGUUUUGGUCCUCUCAAAAGCCAAUAACCCCAAGCUAGUCUUUCUCUGUGAGACUAGACAAGAUGCAACUAAAGUGGAGAAGUUGAAGUGGAGGCUGGGCCUAAAGGGCUUUCACGGUGUUAGUAGUGAUGGAAGGAGCGGCGAUCUUGCUCUGUUCUGGGAGGAGACGCUUACAGUGACAGUGCUCGAAUCGUGUAACAGGUUCAUUGAUGUUCGUGUUCUUGAUGGUGGUUCCGGUAUUUCAUGGAGAGGGACCUUUGUUUAUGGCGAGCUGCGUGUAGAAAAUCGUCAGCGUAUGUGGGAUCAUCUUUGUCGGCUGCGGGCAAUCUCGCAAGAACCUUGGGUGGUAUGUGGCAACUUCAAUGAAGCUCUCUGGUAG